rnacentral:rRNA from 1 species
GGGAGGGUGGUAGUCUAUACGAGCGCACCCUAUUCUUAGUUGCCAGCGGUUCGGCCGGGGACUCUAAGAAAACUGCCAGUGCAAGCUGUGAGGAAGGUGGGGAUGACGUCAAAUCAUCACGGCCCUUACGACCUGGGCCACACACGUGCUACAAUGGUAGGUACAAGGAGCAGCCACUUGGCGACAAGGAGCUAAUCUCAAAAACCUAUCUCAGUUCGGAUUGGAGUCUGAAACUCGACUCUAUGAAGCUGGAAUCGCUAGUAAUCGCGCAUCAGCCAUGGCGCGGUGAAUACGUUCCCGGGCCUUGUACACACCGCCCGUCAAGCCAUGGAAGCUGGGAGUACCUGAAGUCGGUAACCAUAUAGGAGCUGCCUAAGGUAAAACUAGUAACUGGGGCUAAGUCGUAACAAGGUAGCCGUACCGGAAGGUGUGGCUGGAACACCUCCUUUCU